UACGGGGGGGGCAAGCGUUGUUCGGACUUACUGGGCGUAAAGGGCUCGUAGGCGGCUCGUUAAGUCAGACGUGAAAGCCCUCGGCUUAACCGGGGAACGGCGUCUGAGACUGGCAAGCUUGAAUCCGGGAGAGGGAUGCGGAAUUCCAGGUGUAGCGGUGAAAUGCGUAGAUAUCUGGAGGAACACCGGUGGCGAAGGCGGCAUCCUGGACCGGUAUUGACGCUGAGGAGCGAAAGCCAGGGGAGCAAACGGG
rnacentral:rRNA from 1 species